GAAGCUGAAAAGCAAAGUUCAGAAACAACUGAAAGCUCAACUAUCUAGAAAAGAUCAAGAAAUCGUCCAAACAUCUCUGAAGAAGUGAUUCUGGGAAACAAGGAUGAACCUGUCAGAACAAGGUCGACAUUCAAAGUAUCUGAAGAAAAUCCUCUGGGACUAGCAUCUCUGAUUGAGCCUACUUCCUGUGAUGAGGCACUUAAAGACAAUGACUGGAUUCUGGCAAUGAAAGAAGAA
rnacentral:lncRNA from 1 species